UACGUAGGGUCCGAGCGUUUGUCCGGAAUUAUUGGGCGUAAAGGGCUCGUAGGCGGUUCGUCACGUCGGGAGUGAAAACUCGGAGCUUAACUCCGAGCCUGCUUCCGAUACGGGCAGACUAGAGGUAGGCAGGGGGAGAGCGGAACUCCUGGUGUAGCGGUGGAAUGCGCAGAUAUCAGGAGGAAUACCGGUGGCGAAGGCGGCAUCCUGGACCGACAUUGACGCUGAUGAGCGAAAAGCUAGGGGGAGCAAACGGG
rnacentral:rRNA from 1 species